rnacentral:tRNA from 1 species
AGCUCAGUGGUAGAGCACUUGCCUAGCAAGCGCAAGGCCCUGGGUUCGAUCCCCAG